CGACGGGACCCCGCUGCAAAAAGGAUGGUGAUGGUAAAGACGGUAAGUCGGGUGACUCUAAAAAGAAAAAGAAAAGUACGUCCGAUGAGUGUGGAAGAAGCACUGAACCCACGGGACCCAAAUGCGAUUCAUAAGCAGCUGCUUUGACUUCAAAAACGAAAGAUAAAACAAGGUGUUAAUUUUAAGACAUUUUCACAUCAAAAGGAAAUUUUCAAAUCAAUGAAGGCCUUGAGAAAUACUUUC